AUACGAAGGGUGCAAGCGUUAAUCGGAAUUACUGGGCGUAAAGCGCGCGUAGGUGGUUUUGUAAGUUGGAGGUGAAAGCCCCGGGCUCAACCUGGGAAUUGCCUCCAAAACUGCAUGACUAGAGUACGGUAGAGGGUAGUGGAAUUUCCUGUGUAGCGGUGAAAUGCGUAGAUAUAGGAAGGAACACCAGUGGCGAAGGCGCCUACCUGGACUGAAUCUGACACUGAGGUUCGAAAGCGUGGGGAGCAAACAGGAUUAGAUACCCUGGUAGUCCACGCCGUAGACGAUGUCAACUAGCCGUUGGGAUCCUUGAGAUCUUAGUGGCGCAGCUAACGCAUUAAGUUGACCGCCUGGGGAGUACGGCCGCAAGGUUAAAACUCAAAUGAAUUGACGGGG
rnacentral:rRNA from 1 species